CUCAAGGGCAAGACAGUACCACAAGGAAAACAACAAGAACAAAUGGACCAUGAUGUGAACGCACUAGCUACAUCAAAGGAUUUAUGAGACUAUCAAGUUUUAAGCACUCUCUGGAUGUUGAUGGUAGUGAUCAAUUGCUGUUAAUCAUGGUUAUGAUCUACUUCAUGGGUUGCUGAAGAGAACGUGAAUGUUGCAGUACUUGGAAUGUCCCGUACAUGCCACUUGGGUUCAUUUGAUCUGUGAUACCGUGUAUAGUAUUUAUUAAAUUGGAUUCUCCUACAUUUAGAGUACACAUAUGUAGAAUUAUGUCCUUCUAAUAAACUAUUCCAUUAUAAAAUCGUCAUUUUUAUCUUUUGAUUACUUUUGGUUUGAAGUCAUUUUGUAUUACCAUAAUACAUGCUUGUCUCUUAUGUUUGUCUUUGAUGGUGAAAAAGUAUUUCUUUGAAAGCAGUAACUAGAUAGAACCUGGAGUUUUCGUUUGUUUGUUUUUAAUUUAAUGUGAUAUUCUACAUCUUUUGAUUAUAGAAUUGAUACCAUUUAUAUAUGAAAUUAUUAUUGAUAACUGUAUAUCAAUUCUUACUUUUAAUUGAUUUUGUGUUUCAUGUUUCCCUAGUCCCCCUUUGCUCACUCUUUAGCUACAUUU